rnacentral:rRNA from 1 species
UAGGGAAUCUUCCACAAUGGACGAAAGUCUGAUGGAGCAACGCCGCGUGAGUGAAGAAGGGUUUCGGCUCGUAGAACUCUGUUGUUAAAGAAGAACAUAUCUGAGAGUAACUGUUCAGGUAUUGACGGUAUUUAACCAGAAAGCCACGGCUAACUACGUGCCGG